CACGGGGGGAGCAAGCGUUGUUCGGAAUCACUGGGCGUAAAGGGCGUGUAGGCGGUUUGGUAAGUGGGAUGUGAAAUGCCUCGGCUCACCCGAGGACCGGCAUCCCAAACUGCCAAGCUUGAGUAUGGGAGAGGAUGUGGGAAUUCCUGGUGUAGCGGUGAAAUGCGUAGAUAUCAGGAGGAACACCGGUGGCGAAGGCGCACAUCUGGCCCAAUACUGACGCUGAGGCGCGAAAAGCUAGGGGAGCAAACGGG
rnacentral:rRNA from 1 species